rnacentral:lncRNA from 1 species
CCAUGUUCUCGCCCCUCCCCCUCCGCGGGCGGGCGCUCCCUCCCCGGCGCCCGUUUAUUACUCGCUUCACGACUGGGUGACACCACUAGAAUGCCUCGCCCCGACGCCCUUUUGGCGACACCGCCGUCUCUCGUCUCGCUACACCUCAGACAAGCUGCUUCCCCGUGGCCAGACGGUCCUUAAAAUGGCCAGCGCCAGCCAUUCCACCGACUCUACUUGAAGAUGUUUACGUCUCCACAGACUCCCCCCACGCCCAUAACCGAAGGAGACCAGGGAGGCGGAGCUUGGCCUCAUCACGUGAUCGGACCCAGGGCAAGGCGGAUCGCACUACUUCCUCGCUUGGUCUCUCGGCGGAGGAACACCAAACCACCAACUCACCGGAAGCGCGGCUCCAACGCCCCCGGGGAGAUCGGCCGGGCUGCUGGGUGACCUGGCUGCCCUGCCCGCCGAUCUGAGAACCCGUAAGCGGGAUCUUGACCGCGGGGAAUGGUAUCUGGAGCCCGCAAACUGCCGCCUCAGCGCGUGCUGCGAGGAAGUGCUCCUCUGCUGUCCAAUCAGCGUCGAGAAGCCGUUUUAACGUCCCUCCCUCUUCCACCCCUCCUUCCCCGCUCGCUAGUGUCUGCCCCCUCCUCCUCCCGUCGGCUCGACCGAGUUCGACCCUUCUGGGACACCGUCGCCCGCGCUCUCGUCUUGGAGUCCGGCCGCGACCUCUCCUGGCAGUAUGGCCAGCUCAGAGGCUGGUGAGUCUCGGCCUGGAGCCCUGGUGGUUUUGUACUGCAGCAUUCCGCGGACCUUGGGCUGAAUCUGAACCGCGUCUGCGCCGCUGCGGAGGCUCGGGACUGUCGGACACUAGUUGCAGUCGCGCGCGCGGUGGGGGGGGGGGUUCUAUGAAUUUAGGGUCUCAGCCUCGAAACCUCUUGCGGUUUCCAGACGUGGAACUGAGACUUGGGAUGAGAUAGGAACUCUUUGUCGAGCCUGGGACACCCGCAUCCUGUCUAUAUAGAGCAGUCAAGAUCCUUUCUUGGAUCCGAAUUUUUGUGGGGUAUCUAUCCACAGACUGUCUCUCUUUCCCCUUGCUUUGUUUGGACUAAGGCAGAACUUAUCUUUAUAUUGAUUUUUUUUUCCUUUUUGAGGCAUAGCACUCAUAAGUUCUUUUGAUGCCCUCUAGAGUAACUGGCAUUUUCUAGUACUGCCUUUGAAAAGCCAAUUGAUUCGGUUGUCUAGGACGCUUUCCUCUCUUUCCAAAAUGGUUGUCAUGGCUUGGUCAGCUGUGCGACAUAGGCAUCGGGAAGAGGGCAUACUGGGCAUGACAUAUUCAGACUAUUGUCUCCAGAGCGUGUGUCAGUACUGGAAAUGUGGCCAGUUCCAGUCAUUUCAAGAUUCAGGGGUUUCAAGUUUUGGAAUUAUUGCUGAAAUCCUUAACCUUAGUCCUGCACUAUCUAGGGAAGGGCAAGAGCUGGUUUUGGAAAACAAUUAAUGUGCUAAUUUAGAACUUAGCGAUUUGGGUUUUUUUUUUCUUCAUUUUUUACCUUCGUAUACAUCAAAUAUAAUAAAAGGAAAACU